rnacentral:rRNA from 1 species
ACUCAAAGGAAUUGACGGGGGCCCGCACAAGCGGUGGAGCAUGUGGUUUAAUUCGACGCAACGCGAAGAACCUUACCCAGACUUGACAUGCAUCGGACGAGUGUGGAAACACACUUUCCCUUCGGGGCCGUUGCACAGGUGCUGCAUGGCUGUCGUCAGCUCGUGUCGUGAGAUGUUGGGUUAAGUCCCGCAACGAGCGCAACCCUUGUCCUUAGUUGCUAACGGGUAAUGCCGAGCACUCUAGGGAGACUGCCGGUGGUAAACCGGAGGAAGGUGGGGAUGACGUCAAGUCCUCAUGGCCCUUACGUCUGGGGCUACACACGUGCUACAAUGGCGAGUACAAAGGGUUCCAAGACCGCGAGGUGGAGGCAAUCCCAAAAAACUCGUCUCAGUUCGGAUUGCAGUCUGCAACUCGACUGCAUGAAGUUGGAAUCGCUAGUAAUCGCUGAUCAGCAGGCAGCGGUGAAUACGUUCCCGGGCCUUGUACACACCGCCCGU